CCAGAAGAAAGAGCAAUGCAGAAAGCGCAAACAUAACUUGAAUAAAUGGACUAAAAUUUAGAAAUAAUAAGACCAACCAAACCGUUAUUAAUUAUCACAGCAAAGGAAGAUGGCCCCAGAAGAAAGAGCUAUGCAGAAAGAGCAAAAGUAAAUGUCAUCUGUCGUACAGGUAUAGGAAUAGUCAGCCAGAAGAAUAAAUGGAAGUCACUUUUACAACAAAAGGUUGAUUUUCCAAACAUCUUUAUGUUUCAAAAACAUGAUAGCUUCCAAACCAAAGAUGGAUAGAUGAAAUAACUUAAGCAACCUGAUAACAUGUAACCUUGACCUAGAAUAAUUUCAAUCAAAGGAAGAUGGCCCCAGAAGAAAGAGCUAUGCAGAAAGAGCAAAAGUAAAUGUCAUCUGUCGUACAGGUAUAGGAAUAGUCAGCCAGAAGAAUAAAUGGAAGUCACUUUUACAACAAAAGGUUGAUUUUCCAAACAUCUUUAUGUUUCAAAAACAUGAUAGCUUCCAAACCAAAGAUGGAUAGA
rnacentral:lncRNA from 1 species